GCCGAAGUAGCUCAGUGGCAGAGCAACUGAUUCGUAAUCAGUAGGUCGGGAGUUCGAAUCUCCCCUUCGGCACCA
rnacentral:tRNA from 2 species